rnacentral:piRNA from 1 species
ACUUAUGUCAUCACUUGCCUCUGUAUGGGC